rnacentral:pre_miRNA from 1 species
UAUAUACUCCCUCCGUUUUGAAUUAUUUAUCGCGGGUAUGGAUGUAUUUAAAUGUAUUUUAAUUCUAGAUACAUCCAUUUUCGCGACGAGUAAUUUGGAACGGAGGGAGUAUUAU